rnacentral:ncRNA from 1 species
CACGCCAGUGGCACAGCCGGGUAGCUAAGUGCGGGCGGGAUAACCGCUGAAAGCAUCUAAUCGGGAAGCCCCCCUCAAGAUGAGAUCUCCCGGGACUUUGAGUCCCCUAAAGGGCCCUGCGAGACUAGCAGGUUGAUAGGCCGGGUGUGGAAGCGCAGUAAUGCGUGAAGCUAACCGGUACUAAUUGCCCGUGUGGCUUGACCAU